rnacentral:rRNA from 1 species
CCUACGGGUGGCAGCAGUGAGGAAUAUUGGUCAAUGGUCGGGAGACUGAACCAGCCAAGCCGCGUGAGGGAUGAAGGUACAGAGUAUCGUAAACCUCUUUUGUCAGGGAACAAAGGCGGGGACGUGUCCCCGGAUGAGUGUACCUGAAGAAAAAGCAUCGGCAAACUCCGUGCCAGCAGCCGCGGUAAUACGGAGGAUGCGAGCGUUAUCCGGAUUUAUUGGGUUUAAAGGGUGCGCAGGCGGUAUGUUAAGUCAGCGGUAAAAGCCCGGGGCUCAACCCCGGCCCGCCGUUGAAACUGGUAGUCUCGAGUUGGAGAGAAGUAUGCGGAAUGCGCGGUGUAGCGGUGAAAUGCAUAGAUAUCGCGCAGAACUCCGAUUGCGAAGGCAGCAUGCCGGCUCCACACUGACGCUGAGGCACGAAAGCGUGGGUAUCGAACAGGAUUAGAUACCCCUGUAGUC